GGGAGUCCAUCUUUUUUGCUCUUCCAUUGACUUAUCUCCCUUGGGUAAGAUCUCAAACAUGUCAGCUCCCAGUGAUGGUUUGGCAGACAAAUGUUUACAGUGAAGUUUGUGACUUUAAUAAUCUAGGAUGAGCAUGUGGGCCAUCCCAGCCUUAUACAUCUACAUAUUACAAACUAUUUAAGAUAUCUGAAUGCACUAAAGACCAAAAUAGCAUUUCCAAACAAAAUAAUUACUGCCAAGAAAUUUGACAAUCAUGACAAUAAUUUAGUGAAUAAACAUGAUAAAUAUUGAUUGGAAAAAUAAGUCCAUGAACAGCAAAAAGUGUUUUUAGAUUUCAACGAGCAAAACAAAAGUAUUCUAAAUCAUUCUUCGUAAAAAAAAAGAGCGAGUGGAACCACCUUGCCCGCACCAAAAUUGAGAUUGAGAGUGUCAAAACUGCUCUGGCGCACCAUCAAUAAAUCAACAACACUCUCUCUACCGUGGUAUUGAAACCAGCAUUGGUAACCAAACAUAUUCAUACAGAUACAGACUACCAUUCAUCUACAUUUAGGAAGUCUGAAUAAUACUGAAAACUGUGGUGUAGAAUUUCCAACAGGACUCCUUAUUUUAUAUAAGACAAGGAGUGGUUUAUUUUCCCAUGGUUGUUACAUCAUCUUGUCUUUGAAUAUGCUCGAAGUACAGGGACUUUUAUGGAAUUCAUUGACAUGAUAGUCAAGCAAGAUGUCAACAUCUCGUCCAACCCUCUUCCAGCAAAGCCUAAGCUGACCAAGGAUCUUCACCCUUUCAAAACAGGCUGUAUACAGGACGAGUUAUUCCAGUAGGAAUAGGGCUAUAUAUAUGCAAGCAAUGCUCAAUUAAGAUGAAUUUUUGUAAAAGUGACAAUAGCCAGGUCAAAAUAAAUACAUGUAUAGAAGAAGAUAUUGAUCUAGACUCGCAGCUAACCUUUCUGUCAGUGUCAACAACAACUGAACUUUCACAGCAGUCAACAUCAGAUUGGGAGACUGAUAAUGCUUCUAACAGAAACAAUUUCAACCAACCAAACAAGCAACAGAAACUUUCCAACUUUAAAACAACAGUUAAAUCUUCCAUGGGAUGAUGUCUCAAAAAAUAAGAGUUCAUCAUUUAUGGAGAUUUUAACGUUAUGGUUUUUCUUUUACAAGAAAGUUAAUGUACACUUGUUUUAUAGUAAAACCUAUAGCCGUUCAAGUAUAAAAAAACACAUUCAACUUUAUUGAAAUUUGAAGAUUCAUAUGACUUAUUUUAAUUCUGUUAUCUCCGAGGAUAUGAUGUAGAGCAUUAUAGGUACAGUAAUCUUAACAGCUAUCCAAUUUCAUUCAAAAUUCUCUAUAAAUUUUGCACUGGUAUAUAUAGACUAAGUAAUUUGUUUUUCGUCUAGUUAUGGGAUUUUUUUUUAGAAGCAUUUAUGAUUUUCAUGUUUGUAUUGACCACAUUGCAGCAACAUAGAUAUAGGUACCUGGCAAAUCUUGCCUUGUUAGCAAACUAGGCUCAAAGGGUCAUAAAAAAAUUUCGAUCACUUAGUGUCUGUUAAAAUCAUCUGUUUACAGUUUUCACUUUUAAACCAUCAUCUUAAUAACUUUAGAAGAAGUGUCAUACAUAUAUAUAUGUAUACAAAAUUUAAAAACUUUUCAAUAUAUAUAUAUAUAUGCGUUUUGUUAAAAUAUACUUUUUCACUAUUUUGGUCUUUUGGAAAAUGUUGUUUGUGCUGUAUUUAGACCCCUCUACCAAGAAAUUUGUUUUACAUGCACACGUAUAAAAAUUGCGGUUUUUAUCCAACGCAAUCAUAGGUUUGAACGUUGUUUUCAAUUUAGACUUGUUUAUAUAUAUAUAUAUUGAUAAAAACUAUCAACAUGACAAGAUCUAAAUACCCAAAAUUUUUCUGAAAAAUUGGACAUAACAUCUAUGAGCUAUUGUCCCUGAAAUGUGUAAGUUUACAAAUUUUCACAGUUUUCUGCUACUAUCCGACAACUAUAUCAAUAUAUUAUAAGAAUAAAUUGCAAAAGUGGUCAGAAGAAACUUUUUUUUUACAGUCUGAACUUAUUCUGAAUUGUUUAACUGCUAAUUUAAAUUGAUUGCGUUUGAAAUAUGUGUUUUUUAUCAUUUUAGGUGCACAAUUUGUCAAUACGAUCUAUUUCGGCUCCUGGGAGCCUCUAGAUUUAUAAUGAAUAAUUUUUAUUUAUGUAUGAUUAUUUUCUUAAUGUAUUAAAUGAAACAUUAAUUAUUCUU